rnacentral:rRNA from 1 species
UAACGAGCGCAACCCUUAUCGUUAGUUGCCAUCUGGGUAAUGCAGGGGACUCUAGCGAAACUGCCACCGUAAGGUGAGAGGAAGGUGGGGAUGACGUCAAAUCAGCACGGCCCUUAUGUCCAGGGCUACACACGUGUUACAAUGGUCGGUACAGAGGGCAGCUACCUGGUGACAGGAUGCUAAUCUCGAAAACCGGUCUCAGUUCGGAUCGAAGUCUGCAACUCGACUUCGUGAAGCUGGAUUCGCUAGUAAUCGCGCAUCAGCUAUGGCGCGGUGAAUACGUUCCCGGGCCUU